GCCCGUGUAGUGUAGCGGUAACACACUCCAUUGCUUUACGACAACCUUUUUCAGCUUCUUGGGGGGUCAUGCGUUCGAUUCGCGCCAUGGGCA